rnacentral:misc_RNA from 1 species
GUGAAUCAUCGAAUCUUUGAACGCACAUUGCGUCCUCUGGUAUUCCGGGGGGCAUGCCUGUUCGAGCGUCAUUACACCUCUCAAGCUCAGCUUGGUAUUGGGUGCCGUCCCCUGGGGCGCAUCUGAAAAUUAGCGGCGGUGCGGCCGGUGAUCAAGCGUAGUAACUACUCUCGCUUUGAGACACCCGGGCGUGCCAGCCGGAUAACACCCAAAUUUUUCAAUGGUUGACCUCGGAUCAGGUAGGGAUACCCGCUGAACUUAAGCAUAUCAAUAAGCGGAGGA